rnacentral:rRNA from 1 species
AUUGAACGCUGGCGGCAGGCCUAACACAUGCAAGUCGAGCGGAUGAAGGGAGCUUGCUCCUGGAUUCAGCGGCGGACGGGUGAGUAAUGCCUAGGAAUCUGCCUGGUAGUGGGGGAUAACGUCCGGAAACGGGCGCUAAUACCGCAUACGUCCUGAGGGAGAAAGUGGGGGAUCUUCGGACCUCCCGCUAUCAGAUGAGCCUAGGUCGGAUUAGCUAGUUGGUGGGGUAAAGGCCUACCAAGGCGACGAUCCGUAACUGGUCUGAGAGGAUGAUCAGUCACAAUGGAACUGAGACACGGUCCAGACUCCUACGGGAGGCAGCAGUGGGGAAUAUUGGACAAUGGGCGAAAGCCUGAUCCAGCCAUGCCGCGUGUGUGAAGAAGGUCUUCGGAUUGUAAAGCACUUUAAGUUGGGAGGAAGGGCAGUAAGUUAAUACCUUGCUGUUUUGACGUUACCAACAGAAUAAGCACCGGCUAACUUCGUG